GGAUGUGAGGGUGAUCUGGCUGCGACAUCUGUCACCCCAUUGAUGGCCAGGGUUGAUUCGGCUGGUCCAGCUGGCUAGGCGGGUGUUCUCUUCCUCCCUCACCGCUCCAUGUGCAUGCUCCGAAGUUGUGUGCUCAGUCAAAGAGGACGACCACCCCGAUAGAGGAGGACUGCUUCCUUGGUCAAGGGUAUAGGAGUAGCUGCGCUCCCCUGCUAAAACCUCCAAACAGGCCCUCAACACAGUGCUGUCCAUACAUGUUCAAUGGAGGGGGAAUGAGGAUUAAUUUCCUGCUCCUUUCCUGUGCUGGGUCUUUUAUUCAGGUUCUAG
ensembl:misc_RNA 7SK 7SK RNA